rnacentral:rRNA from 1 species
AACGCAUGCAAGUCGAGCGAUGAGGUUCCCUUCGGGGAGUACAUCAGCGGCAGACGGGUGAGUAACACGUAGGUAACCUGCCCUCAAGACGGGGAUAACGCCUGGAAACGGGCGCUAAUACCGGAUGACCUUAGUUGGGGAAGAUCCGAUUAAGGAAAGGCUAUGGCGCUUGAGGAGGGGCCUGCGGCCCAUCAGUUAGUUGGUAGGGUAACGGCCUACCAAGGCGAAGACGGGUAGGGGGUGUGAGAGCACGGCCCCCCACACUGGGACUGAGACACGGCCCAGACUCCUACGGGAGGCAGCAGCGGGGAAUAUUGCGCAAUGGACGGAAGUCAGACGCAGCGACGCCGCGUGGGUGAAGAAGGCCUUCGGGUUGUAAAACCCUUUUCUGAGGGAAGAGAAAGGACGGUACCUUAGGAAUAAGCGUCGGCUAACUACGUGCCAGCAGCCGCGGUAAGACGUAGGACGCGAGCGUUAUCCGGAUUUACUGGGCGUAAAGCGUGUGUAGGCGGCGUGACAAGUUGGGCGUGAAAGCCCCGUGCUCAACGCGGGGAGGCCGCACAAUACUGUCAGGCUAGAGGGCACCAGAGGGGUGUGGAAUUCCCGGAGUAGCGGUAAAAUGCGCAGAUAUCGGGAGGAACACCGGUGGCGAAAGCGGCACCCUGGGGUGCGCCUGACGCUGAGAGACGACAGCUAGGGGAGCGAACAGGAUUAGAGACCCUGGUAGUCCUAGCCGUAAACGAUGGAUGCUAGGUGUAGGAGUGAAGAGCUUCUGUGCCGCAGCGAACGCGAUAAGCAACCCGCCNNUGGGGAGUACGGCCGCAAGGGUUAAAACUUCAAACGAAUUGACGGGGACCCGCACAAGCAGCGGAGCGUGUGGUUUAAUUGAUAUACACGAAGAACCUUACCUGGGAUUGACAUAUGGGUGGUAGUGAUCCGAAAGGAGAGCGACCCUUCGGGGAGCCUAUACAGGUGCUGCAUGGCUGUCGUCAGCUCGUGCCGUGAGGUGUCAGGGUUAAGUCCCGUAACGAGCGCAACCCUUGUCCUUAGUUACAAGUGUCUAAGGGGACUGCCGGCGGGAAGCCGGAGG